rnacentral:rRNA from 1 species
GACGAACGCUGGCGGCGUGCUUAACACAUGCAAGUCGAACGGAAAGGCCCUGCUUUUGUGGGGUGCUCGAGUGGCGAACGGGUGAGUAACACGUGAGUAACCUGCCCUUGACUUUGGGAUAACUUCAGGAAACUGGGGCUAAUACCGGAUAGGAGCUCCUGCUGCAUGGUGGGGGUUGGAAAGUUUCGGCGGUUGGGGAUGGACUCGCGGCUUAUCAGCUUGUUGGUGGGGUAGUGGCUUACCAAGGCUUUGACGGGUGGCCGGCCUGAGAGGGUGACCGGCCACAUUGGGACUGAGAUACGGCCCAGACUCCUACGGGGGGCAGCAGUGGGGAAUAUUGCACAAUGGGCGGAAGCCUGAUGCAGCAACGCCGCGUGCGGGAUGACGGCCUUCGGGUUGUAAACCGCUUUCGCCUGUGACGAAGCGUGAGUGACGGUAAUGGGUAAAGAAGCACCGGCUAACUACGUG